UACGGGGGGAGCAAGCGUUGUUCGGAUUUACUGGGCGUAAAGGGCGCGUAGGCGGCCUCUGCAAGUCGACUGUGAAAUCUCCGGGCUUAACCCGGAAAGGUCAGCCGAUACUGCAGGGCUAGAGUGCAGAAGGGGCAACUGGAAUUCUCGGUGUAGCGGUGAAAUGCGUAGAUAUCGAGAGGAACACCUGCGGCGAAGGCGAGGCUCUGGCUGGUUACUGACGCUGAGACGCGAAAGCUAGGGGAGCAAACGGG
rnacentral:rRNA from 1 species